rnacentral:rRNA from 1 species
GAUGAACGCUGGCGGCGUGCCUAAUACAUGCAAGUCGAGCGAACGGACGAGAAGCUUGCUUCUCUGAUGUUAGCGGCGGACGGGUGAGUAACACGUGGAUAACCUACCUAUAAGACUGGGAUAACUUCGGGAAACCGGAGCUAAUACCGGAUAAUAUUUUGAACCGCAUGGUUCAAAAGUGAAAGACGGUCUUGCUGUCACUUAUAGAUGGAUCCGCGCUGCAUUAGCUAGUUGGUAAGGUAACGGCUUACCAAGGCAACGAUGCAUAGCCGACCUGAGAGGGUGAUCGGCCACCCUGGAACUGAGACACGGUCAAGACUCCUACGGGAGGCAGCAGUAGGGAAUCUUCCGCAAUGGGCGAAAGCCUGACGGAGCAACGCCGCGUGAGUGAUGAAGGUCUUCGGAUCGUAAAACUCUGUUAUUAGGGAAGAACAUAUGUGUAAGUAACUGUGCACAUCUUGACGGUACCUAAUCAGAAAGCCACGGCUAACUACGUG